GUAGGUGGCAAGCGUUGUCCGGAAUUAUUGGGCGUAAAGCGCGCGCAGGCGGUUCGUUUAAGUCUGAUGUGAAAAGCCCACGGGCUCAACCGUGGAGGGUCAUUGGAAAACUGGAGAACUUGAGUACAGAAGAGGAAAGCGGAAUUCCACGUGUAGCGGUGAAAUGCGUAGAGAUGUGGAGGAACACCAGUGGCGAAGGCGGCUUUCUGGUCUGUAACUGACGCUGAGGCGCGAAAGCGUGGGGAGCAAACAGGAUUAGAUACCCUGGUAGUCCACGCCGUAAACGAUGAGUGCUAAGUGUUAGGGGGGUUUCCGCCCCUUAGUGCUGCAGCUAACGCAUUAAGCACUCCGCCUGGGGAGUACGGCCGCAAAGGCUGA
rnacentral:rRNA from 1 species